rnacentral:rRNA from 1 species
GGAAGUAAAAGUCGUAACAAGGUUUCCGUAGGUGAACCUGCGGAAGGAUCAUUAACGAACUCUGGGAGAACACGGUUGCUGCUGGGCUUCCUUGGAAGUCAUCGUGCACACGGUCUCUCUUCUCGUUCAACCAAUCUACCCCUAUUCUGUGCACCCCUCGUGAGCUGAGAUCUCUGAGCUCAUGUCUUUUACCAUGAAACAACCCCAUCUUAUUCAAGCGAAUGACAGCCCGUCCGAGCCUCGUCUCGACGGAAGGAGAAAUACACAACUUUCAACAACGGAUCUCUUGGCUCUCGCAUCGAUGAAGAACGCAGCGAAAUGCGAUAAGUAAUGUGAAUUGCAGAAUUCAGUGAAUCAUCGAAUCUUUGAACGCACCUUGCGCCCCUUGGUACUCCGGGGGGCAUGCCUGUUUGAGUGUCAUCUGCCCAUCAACCCGAAAAAGGCUCUCGAGCCCAUCGGUGCUUGGAGCUUGCGGCGUGCGGGAAGGAGGCUCUCGCGGAGCCUCCCCUCCGCUCCUCGCUGAAUACAUCAGCGGAUGUCCCACUUGCGGGACCGGCCUUGACGUGAUAAAUGUCUACGUCCUGGCUCGGGUCGCAUACCCUUUUGGCUUCUGCUUCGAAACGGUCGCUGCCUCGCUUUGGCGGGGGGACAGCCCAAUUGACAACUUUGGCCUCAAAUCAGGUAGGAUUACCCGCUGAACUUAAGCAUAUCAAUAAGCGGAGGA